rnacentral:rRNA from 1 species
CAAUAGAUACCCAGGUAGUCCACCCGUAAACGUUGGGAACUAGUUGUGGGUCCUUUCCACGGAUUCCGUGACGCAGCUAACGCAUUAAGUUCCCCGCCUGGGGAGUACGGCCGCAAGGCUAAAACUCAAAGGAAUUGACGGGGACCCGCACAAGCGGCGGAGCAUGCGGAUUAAUUCGAUGCAACGCGAAGAACCUUACCAAGGCUUGACAUACACCAGAACACCCUAGAAAUAGGGGACUCUUUGGACACUGGUGAACAGGUGGUGCAUGGUUGUCGUCAGCUCGUGUCGUGAGAUGUUGGGUUAAGUCCCACAACGAGCGCAACCCUCGUUCUAUGUUGCCAGCACGUAAUGGUGGGAACUCAUGGGAUACUGCCGGGGUCAACUCGGAGGAAGGUGGGGAUGACGUCAAAUCAUCAUGCCCCUUAUGUCUUGGGCUUCACGCAUGCUACAAUGGCCGGUACAAAGGGCUGCAAUACCGUGAGGUGGAGCGAAUCCCAAAAAGCCGGUCCCAGUUCGGAUUGAGGUCUGCAACUCGA